rnacentral:lncRNA from 1 species
GAUUAUAAUGUCAAAGACAGCUGAGCUGGGAUUUUAUACAUUACUGUUAGAAGUUCCACCUAACAAAAAUCCAUACCAGAUUCUAUGUAACCUAAAAUAAGGAAGAGACUUGCAUUUGAAUGGUCUUUCCCACAUAUAAGCUAAAAAGGACUUCGUUUAGUGCGAUCGUCCAAUGAUAAAUAAAGUCCUGCUGUUGAAUCGCCUUGGAGCACUGCCACAGAGGCUCCCCCUGACCAAGCAGGAAACAACUCCAUCAUGGAUCAACCUCGACACUGCUCAGCAGACUGCCUGCUCAGCCCCCCAAGGUCUCUGUCCUCAGGGUUCCCAAUGGGAAUAUUGUAUGCAACAUCACAGCCACAGCUCAAG